UACGGAGGAUCCAAGCGUUAUCCGGAUUUAUUGGGUUUAAAGGGUCCGUAGGCGGACUCGUAAGUCAGUGGUGAAAUCUCAUAGCUUAACUAUGAAACUGCCAUUGAUACUGCGGGUCUUGAGUAAAGUAGAAGUGGCUGGAAUAAGUAGUGUAGCGGUGAAAUGCAUAGAUAUUACUUAGAACACCAAUUGCGAAGGCAGGUCACUAUGUUUUAACUGACGCUGAUGGACGAAAGCGUGGGGAGCGAACAGG
rnacentral:rRNA from 1 species